rnacentral:rRNA from 1 species
AACGAACGCUGGCGGCAGGCUUAACACAUGCAAGUCGAACGCGUGCAGCAAUUCACGAGUGGCGCACGGGUGGGUACCGCGUGGAAAUCGGCCUUUGGAGUCGGACUAAACCCGGAAAACUGUGCCUAAUACCGGAUGGUUCCUACGGAAAAGAAGGAUAUCGCCAGAAGAUGGGUUCGCGUCCGAUUAGCUAGUUGGUGAGGCAAUGGCUUACCAAGGCGAUGAUCGGUAGCUGGUCUGAGAGGACGAUCAGCCACACUGGGACUGAGACACGGCCCAGAGACUCACAGGAGAGGCAGCAGUGGGGAAUACUGGACUAGGGGGGCGACUGUGAUCCAGCUACGCCGUGGGAGUGAUGAAGGCCCGGGGGUUGUACUGCUUUUUCGGCGGGGACGAUGAUGACGGUACCCGCAGAAUAAGCCCCGGCUAACUUCGUG